rnacentral:tRNA from 1 species
GGGAAUGGGGCUAAGUGGUAGAGUGCUUGCCUAGCAUGCAUGAAGCCCUGGGUUCGAGUCCUCAAUCCCA